AGCUUGAACAAGUCACUACUGCAGCAUGCACAGAGGAUGGGAUGACAAGACCUCACCCCUACCUAAACUGCUACUGACAGUUGAUGGCUUCUUGGAAAGAGAGAAUCUAUUUCCUUCAGGCAUAUGACCCCAAAUAGGUUGGCCAUGUUCUAUUUAUAGAAAUUUAAUCAGUAUUAAUGGACUGGGUUAUUAAAACGAAAGGCCAUGAUGUUUGGAGGAAGAUGUGAGAAUGUCUGAGAAGAGUUAGAGGUAUGAGGUGAGUCAUGGCUAUGGCCAAAAUAUGUUGCGUACAUGUAUAAAACUUUAAAAACCUGUUCAAAGAGUUGAAACUCUCUAACAAAUAUAUCUUUGUCUAAAACAAACAAAAGCAAAUGAACAAACAAAAAACCUCAUAGCAAAACUGUUAUCCAAUGUCUCCACUGUUAGCCAUUUUCUCCCAUAGCUAUUUACCAUGGGAAUGUCUAGCCAAGAGCAAAAUGCUGGAGAAGAGCCUGAGCUUUCGAAGCUAAGAAUGCAAAGGUUAAUAAGAAUACUUACAUCAGGGAUUCAAUGCACUCAACCAUUCUACAGAACUAACAUCUUGUCAUCUCGCCACGUACUGAAGGUGAUCACCAAGCAUUAACGGAAGCAAGCUGUGUGCAGUCAAAGAAAAGUGCAGAAUCAUCUAUCAGCUGGCGUGGCACCUUCUGACACUCUGGACGCUAGAUCUGAAGAAGGAGGCUUUCAGGACACAUCCAGCUCUAAUCUUCUAAAUCCUUCUUCCUAAAUGUGUGGUGUCUUCAGCAGUAGGGUUUGACCUUCAGCCUCUGGGAGGGGACCACGGCAACAGCAACAGCCGGUAUUGUUUUGAGAGUUUCUUGGGCUAUCCUGACCUACAGCUUGAAAGGUGGUUCCUCAUGCCUGAGAACCGGGCUUUUGUGUAUCUAUGGUUCUUGUGAGGCACACUAUCAGCCGUGUGUGUGUGUGUGUGUGUGUGUGUGUGUGGUGUGUGUAAUUUUAUAUGGUAAAUAUAAAACAAUAUGAGUUAAGGCUUUUUAAACAAUGUUAGUGUUGUUUGUCCUUUCUCUCCUGUCCCCCUUUCAUUCUGUAUUGACCCCUCCCUCUACCUCAUUAAAGCUCCAGCCCUGUCGCCCCCUUUACAUCAUCUGUAUCCUGAUAUUAGUACUGCCCGAGGAGGUGGUCCUGGGUGUACAUGGAAGCAGGUUGAGCAAGCUGUGUUCCUCCACGACCUCUGCUUCGUCUCCAGGUGCCAACCCUGAGCCCUGCGUGACCUCCCCCUGUGAUGGGCCUCUAAGUAAGCUGUAUGAUGAGUAAACGCUUCCCUCUAAAAGUGGCUUUGGAUCAUAGCAAUGGAAAGCAAACUAGGACAAUAUUCAAUCUUGGAAUGUGCCUCAGUUUCUUCAUCUGUAUAAUGGACCCUGUCAACACUUGUCUAUAUGGUUGCCUUGAGAAUUAAAUAGAUGGAUAUAUUUACUAAAAAAAAAAAGAAAAAAAGAAAUGUCACACUGUGUCCAAGCCUCAGAGGACAGGAGAAGUAGGCGAGAGGCUUCUGCCUGACUUAGAGCCUGGAAGACGCUGAGGCAAGCCAAUGAUUAUGAGAACACAUGUUCACGACACUGGGGCAGGAACUGGGAAGAUACAGAACGUGAGAUUACAGCUAAGCACUGGCUUAGGUUGUAAAAUCAAAGUUGAUUACUGGGAAAUCCAAGGCAAGUAAGGUCACUUCUUACAUUGUUCUCUUAAAGGCAGAUUGAAUAAACAGGAUGGGUGUGCAGGGGUAACAGUCUUACAUCUUGAGUGAUCUCAAGAUUUGUUAUUAACUUCCGUUAUAAAGUCCAGCGAAGUCCAAGUCUCUUAGAAUAUGAGCUGGUGUCAUGCACUAUGUUACCACAGUUAAUAACUUCAUUAAGAUAAAGACUAUAAGCUCUCUUUCAUUUGUGGCCCCUAGAUUUUACAUAUCUGUAUAAAAUCCUUCACAUGAGGGAUCUCUCUGUCUGUGGCAUGAAAAGUAGAAGUAAAAUGUGCAGGGAGACAGAGGAAAUUCAUGGGGAUGGGAGUGGGGGUGCCUGGAAGAGGGGUCAAAAAUGGGGGGGAGGGAGUUUGAGGGAAUAUUCUCAAUAUAAAAUUAUGCACGUAGAAAAACUUUAAACAAUGAAAAUAGUUUUAAAAACUAGACUAAGCGAAACUUGGGUAAGCAAAACUCUAGGUAUCCAGUUCUUUCUCUAUUCAAUAUGUCUACUGAGUCCAAUAAGGCCUGUCUUUUACCUAUCUACUCUAUUAAAGCUGUACCUUGAUGUCCUCCUUCUCCUCCCUUUUUCUCCUCCCUCCUCUCAAAAUCCUCUAAUCAGCCUACCCUAUUGUUUAUUCUAACUCCAAUAAAGCCAUCUUCAAGUUCUCCCUUUUGUGGUCUCAAAAAUUCAUUCAGCAGGAUCAACAACGGCAAGAUCAACAAGCUACAAAACUGUGUUCCGUUUCCACAGCAAGAAGAGCGACAGAGGCAUAUUAUUGUCAACUUUUAGAAUGUCUUGCUCAGACUCCCCAAACCACCUGAAGGUCUCUGGUCAUUGCCUUAAAUCUUUAGUCACCUCGUAUUGCAGAAACCACAGGUCUGGCCUAUAAAUCCCUUUCUCUGGAUUAUCUUCUUCCAAAUGAGGAUGAUCACCUGUGAAUAGAACUCACUGUGGGCCCUCAAUAAGUGAUGACAGUGUUAACUCAAAUGCCCUUACUAAGGCAGAACUGACAUAUUAAUCAAGCAACCAUAUUUUGACCAAGGCUGCUUAAUCUGGUUACCACUCACCAAUUGCCUCAGCUCUUCCUCUGUUUAAACCUGAAGCUCAUGUCACUUCUCAGAAGCCAGACUUGGGGUCCACCGGAUGCCAUUAUCUGCUUCUCUCCCGCACUGGGAUCACAAUAGUAAAUCUGUCUUCCUUGCUUUGGGCCGUAAUGGUUUCGUUCACCGAUGUGUUGUAGUAAAUCUUUUGGAUAUCACACAGCUGGGCUUUGUCUUUGCCCCACCUGGGCCCUGGAGAUAACCCUGAUAUGAGCAAAACCUGAUCCUAAAGAAUGGCGAGAGUAAAGACAAAAGUGUGGAUGUCAGGAUGGGUAAUGGGUUAACGAGCUACGGGCAAGAAAAGAACAAAAUCCCAUACAUAUUCCUGAAUAUGUUAAAACCUUCAUUCAAAUCCUAUCAGGAUCUAUAAGCGCCAGGAAGACCCUCCCCAAAACUCAACAAUCCAUGAGUACUUCGCCUUUAUAGAUUAUCUUCAUGUUCUAAGUCUAUCCAUUUUGUCCUCUUGUUCUAUUGCCAGUUGUAGGCUAUCUGUUAUGGUGAUCACACACUUUGACAAACUUUACCUGACUGGCUGGGUUCCUUUCAUCACUGAAACACAUGUAAAAGAACUUCUUGCCAUUCAUCUGUCUCCUAGUAGUCCAAACUUACAGGCCUACCCCCAAGUUUAAGAUAUAUAGAAUGAAAAUAUUUUCUUUUCUCCUGUGCCUAAGUGAACCAUCCUGACGUUCCUGGAUGUCCUGGCCCUAGAAUUGAGGUCUGACAGGAAAUCCUGCUGAUUAUGGAUGCUGGAGGUGCUGUGUACCACAGGAUUGCCUGCUACCUGAAAAGGUGAUGGUCAAAUGAUCCCAAAGAUUUCUACCCUGAUCUGUGAAGAAACAUGAUGACAUCACAAAUUUCCCAUCAUGUUAAGCAACCCAGACACCAUCAAGAAAAAACUGCAUGGUAUUGGUACAGAGACAGACAGAUAGACCAAUGGAAUAGAAUUGAAGACCCAGAAAUGAACCCACAUACCUAUGGUCACUUGAUUUUUGACAAAGGAGCCAAAACCAUCCAAUGGAAAAAAGAUAGCAUUUUCAGCAAAUGGUGCUGGUUCAACUGGAGGUCAACAUGUAGAAGAAUGCAGAUCGAUCCAUGCUUAUCACCCUGUACAAAGCUUAAGUCCAAGUGGAUCAAGGACCCCCACAUCAAACCAGACACACUCAAACUAAUAGAAGAAAAACUAGGGAAGCAUCUGGAACACAUGGGCACUGGAAAAAAAUUCCUGAACAAAACACCAAUGGCUUAUGCUCUAAGAUCAAGAAUCGACAAAUGGGAUCUCAUAAAACUGCAAAGCUUCUGUAAGGCAAAGGACACUGUGGUUAGGACAAAACAGCAACCAAAAGAUUGGGAAAAGAUCUUUACCAAUCCUACAACAGAUAGAGGCCUUAUAUCCAAAAUAUACAAAGAACUCAAGAAGUUAGACCGCAAGGAGACAAAUAACCCUAUUAAAAAAUGGGGUUCAGAGCUAAACAAAGAAUUCACAGCUGAGGAAUGCCAAAUGGCUGAGAAACACCUAAAGAAAUGUUCAACAUCUUUAGUCAUAAGGGAAAUGCAAAUCAAAACAACCCUGAGAUUUCACCUCACACCAGUGAGAAUGGCUAAGAUCAAAAACUCAGGUGACAGCAAAUGCUGGCGAGGAUUCUGAGAAAGAGGAACACUCCUCCAUUGUUGGUGGGGUUGCAGACUGGUACAACCAUUCUGGAAAUCAGUCUGGAGGUUCCUCAGAAAAUUGGACAUUGAACUGCCUGAGGAUCCAGCUAUACCUCUCUUGGGCAUAUACCCAAAAGAUGCCCCAACAUAUAAAAAAGACACGUGCUCCACUAUGUUCAUCGCAGCCUUAUUUAUAAUAGCCAGAAGCUGGAAAGAACCCAGAUGCCCUUCAACAGAGGAAUGGAUACAGAAAAUGUGGUACAUCUACACAAUGGAAUAUUACUCAGCUAUCAAAAACAACGGCUUUAUGAAAUUCGUAGGCAAAUGGUUGGAACUGGAAAAUAUCAUCCUGAGUGAGGUAACCCAAUCACAGAAAGACAUACAUGGUAUGCACUCAUUGAUAAGUGGCUAUCAGUCCAAAUGCUUGAAUUACCCUAGAUGCCUAGAACAAACGAAACUCAAGACGGAUGAUCAAAAUGUGAAUGCUUCACUCCUUCUUUAAAUGAGGAAAAAGAAUACCCUUGGCAGGGAAGGGAGAGGCAAAGAUUAAAAUAGAGACUGAAGGAACACCCAUUCAGAGCCUGCCCCACAUGUGGCCCAUACAUAUACAGCCACCCAAUUAGACAAGAUGGAUGAAGCAAAGAAGUGCAGACCGACAGGAGCCGGAUGUAGAUCGCUCCUGAGAGACACAGCCAGAAUACAGCAAAUACAGAGGCGAAUGCCAGCAGCAAACCACUGAACUGAGAGUAGGUCCCCCGUUGAAGGAAUCAGAGAAAGAACUGGAAGAGCUUGAAGGGGCUCGAGACCCCAAAAGUACAACAAUGUCAAGCAACCAGAGCUUCCAGGGACUAAGCCACUACCUAAAGACUAUACAUGGACUGACCCUGGACUCUGACCCCAUAGGUAGCAAUGAAUAUCCUAGUAAGAGCACCAGUGGAAGGGGAAGCCCUGGGUCCUGCUAAGACUGAACCCCCAGUGAACUAGACUGUUGGGGGGAGGGCUGCAAUGGGGGGAGGGUUGGGAGGGGAACACCCAUAAGGAAG